AGUGAACGCUGGCGGUAGGCCUAACACAUGCAAGUCGAACGGCAGCACAGUAAGAGCUUGCUCUUACGGGUGGCGAGUGGCGGACGGGUGAGGAAUACAUCGGAAUCUACUUUUUCGUGGGGGUUAACGUAGGGAAACUUACGCUAAUACCGCAUACGACCUACGGGUGAAAGCAGGGGAUCUUCGGACCUUGCGCGAUUGAAUGAGCCGAUGUCGGAUUAGCUAGUUGGCGGGGUAAAGGCCCACCAAGUCGACGAUCCGUAGCUCGUCUGAGAGGAUGAUCAGCCACACUGGAACUGAGACACGGUCCAGACUCCUACGGGAGGCAGCAGUGGGGAAUAUUGGACAAUGGGCGCAAGCCUGAUCCAGCCAUACCGCGUGGGUGAAGAAGGCCUUCGGGUUGUAAAGCCCUUUUGUUGGGAAAGAAAAGCAGCAGGUUAAUACCCCGCUGUUCUGACGGUACCCAAAGAAUAAGCACCGGCUAACUUCGUG
rnacentral:rRNA from 1 species